rnacentral:rRNA from 1 species
AUUGAACGCUGGCGGCAGGCCUAACACAUGCAAGUCGAACGGUAGCACAGAGAGCUUGCUCUCGGGUGACGAGUGGCGGACGGGUGAGUAAUGUCUGGGAAACUGCCCGAUGGAGGGGGAUAACUACUGGAAACGGUAGCUAAUACCGCAUAACGUCUUCGGACCAAAGUGGGGGACCUUCGGGCCUCACACCAUCGGAUGUGCCCAGAUGGGAUUAGCUAGUAGGUGGGGUAAUGGCUCACCUAGGCGACGAUCCCUAGCCGGUCUGAGAGGAUGACCAGCCACACUGGAACUGAGACACGGUCCAGACUCCUACGGGAGGCAGCAGUGGGGAAUAUUGCACAAUGGGCGCAAGCCUGAUGCAGCCAUGCCGCGUGUAUGAAGAAGGCCUUCGGGUUGUAAAGUACUUUCAGCGGGGAGGAAGGCGAUGAGGUUAAUAACCGCAUCGAUUGACGUUACCCGCAGAAGGAGCACCGGCUAACUCCGUGCCAGCCGCCGCGGUAACAC